GGGUUCAUUCCCGUCGUUCG
rnacentral:tRNA from 1 species